rnacentral:lncRNA from 1 species
CUGACAUAACUCUAAUGUGAGAAAUGUCCUUUUGUUCAUUCUUUAUGAAAAAAAUUUAAACACUAGUGCUCUUGUGUGCACUCUCCUGAAAGAUCUGUACAGAACCAAGCACUUGUUUAUACGUAUUAGUCUGUUGGAGAUAAUUACCAAAUAGGUUGAUUGUCCUAGUCUCAGACUGAAUGACUUUCUCUUUGCCCUAGUCACAAGGAAUUAAUAAACCUAGAUAGGAAUGUAUUUCCAUUCUCUCAGCUUACAAAUUUAAGUGGUUUAUGUCAGCGUUGACCCAAUUUAAGCCCAGUAAUGUCAGUUCUCCUUAUCUGAGCUCAAAUAGGAAUUAAGAAAUAUCCCGAAUGUUGAUGCUUAUCCAAGCAUUUGGGGGUGGGGGUGGGAGGGAAUUGAUGUCCAGGAAUGGGGGCUAGAGUAAGGAAUAUUUUUUUUUUGAGUCUGCCCCAAAUACUGUGCUUUAUUGUGAGUGUUGUAACAUUUGAAAAACUUGUGCCAUAACUCUUUGGGACUUGGUGUUAAAAGAGCCAGUGGUCUUUCUUGGGUAGUGUACUAUAGUGAUUUCCUGUGACCCACCGCCCUGUGGGUCUGCAUCCUUUGCAAUAACACAACCUCAGAAGUAACAGUGAAAUACUCCACAAAGUAGAUGUCUUUCUGUUGGCACUCCUAUUUAAAUACAGAAUCGGGCAGGGAGCAUGUUCUUUGUUCUAUACGAAAUCUAGCUGUGGGUAUUCAUAUUUUAAUUGUUGAAUGACUUACAUGUUCUUGAUGACUAAACUCAAACAUGUCUUUUUCCCAUAUCAGUGUUGCUGAUGGUUUUAAUGAAUAUCAAAAUUCUCCUGUUGUUUCUGUGAGCUGCUAGGGGCAUUAGCUUCAGAGUGGCCAGAGAAGACAUCAUCUCCAUGACCUAACUGUAUUUUACCCGCUUUUCUUUCCCUAUUCUCCUGCCUUACCCCCAGCCUUCUCUGGCUGCUUCUGCACAUACCCUGAACACAUUGUGCCUGUUUUCUAUGAUUGUGGAGAGUGAGUGAACAAGUUAAGUAUGUAGCACAGUUUUCCUUCUGGUAUUGGUCACAGUUAUAUUAGUGUCUAUCUACAUCUGUAUUCUAACAAUAUUCUGUAAUUAAAAGUAAAAUUUUU